rnacentral:lncRNA from 1 species
GCCAGGCCCAUCAUGCCCUUCCCCUACCCUCCAGGCUACAGGAUUAGCAGGGAGCCCAGGCCCAGAGCCCACACAAGGGCAGGGAGGACACCGCUGCCACAGUCUACAUGAAAGCCAUCCACCAGGGCAGCCCCACCACCUGCAGACAGGUGCCGCUCCCAAGACCCUUGCUGAACUCCGACCCUGUGCUUCUGGACAUUUACAAGCCUCUCCGGCCUCAGUUUCCUCACCAGUCCAAAGACAGGCAGCAGACAGAGCAACCGGCCUGGAGUCAGGAAGACCUGAGUUCAAAUCCUGCCUUGAACACUUAUUACCAGGGUGACCCUGGGGCAAGUCACUUAGCCUCUGUUUGCUGCAGUGUCCUCAUCUGUAAAAUGGGGAUGACAGCAGCAUCUCCCUGCCAGGGCUGUUGAGAGGAUCCAGAAAUACUAUUCAUGACGUGCUCAGCACCCAGCAGACACUCAAUGAAUACUUGUCUCCUUUCCCGCUUCCUUCUACUCAAUGAAUAAAAUUCUUUGUCGGGCAUCA